AUGCCGCUCUCCAGCCUGCCCUGGGUGUUCCUGGCCUUCACCUUCUCUGGAUCCAGUCUGGCCCAGAAAGUAACUCAAGUCCAGACAGCCGUAUCCAGUCGAGUGGCGCAGACAGUCACCCUGAAUUGUCGCUAUGAAUUAAGUUGGACCACGGACUACUACUACAUUUUUUGGUAUAAACAGCUUCCCAGUGGAGAGAUGAAUGUCUUUAUUCAUCAGUAUUCAGAACACCUGAAUGCAAGGAAUGGCCGCUACUCUGUAAACUUCCAGAAAGCAGAUAAAUCCAUCAGCCUCAUCAUUUCAGCCUUACAGCUCGAAGACUCUGCAAAGUACUUCUGUGCUCUCUGGGAGCUCACAGUGCUUGAAGUAAUGGGAAAAGCUGAACAAAAUCCCCAGAGCUUAAUAACAGAGAGCCCUACUGCUUCAGGACCUCAGUUGAAGUGCACACCUGCACAUCCCAGAAGAGAAAUGGAGCAGGUAGAUUCAGCAACUCUUCCUGAUGAGGAAGAAGAGGGAGAUGCUGCUCAUAGCACCAAUGUUAAUCUUAUGGAUGCAAAUACCACGUGA